ensembl:lncRNA
GCAGGGGUGUGUGGUGAAGAUAUAGGAGAGUCUCUCUCCAGACUGGCUCAGUAGGGCAGUGGUGUGUGGUGAAGAUAUAGGAGAGUCUCUCUCCAGACUGGCUCAGUAGGGCAGUGGGGUGUGGUGAAGAUAUAGGAGAGUCUCUCUCUCCAGAAUGGCUCAGUAGGGCAGGGGUGUGUGGUGAAGAUAUAGGAGAGUCUCUCUCCAGACUGGCUCAGUAGGGCAGUGGUGUGUGGUGAAGAUAUAGGAGAGUCUCUCUCCAGACUGGCUCAGUAGGGCAGGGGUGUGUGGUGAAGAUAUAGGAGUCUCCUCCAGACUGGCUCAGUAGGGUAGGGGUGUGUGGUGAAGAUAUAGGAGAGUCACUCUCUCCAGAAUGGCUCAGUAGGGUAGGGGUGUGUGGUGAAGAUAUAGGAGAGUCUCUCUCCCAGAAUGGCUCAGUAGGGUAGGGGUGUGUGGUGAAGAUAUAGGAGAGUCCCUCUCUCCAGACUGGCUCAGUAGGGCAGGGGUGUGUGGUGAAGAUAUAGGAGUCUCGCUCCAGACUGGCUCAGUAGGGCAGGGGUGUGUGGUGAAGAUAUAGGAGAGUCUCUCUCUCCAGAAUGGCUCAGUAGGGCAGGGGUGUGUGGUGAAGAUAUAGGAGAGUCUCUCUCCAGACUGGCUCAGUAGGGCAGGGGUGUGUGGUGAAGAUAUAGGAGUCUCCCUCCAGACUGGCUCAGUAGGGCAGGGGUGUGUGGUGAAGAUAUAGGAGAGUCUCUCUCUCCAGAAUGGCUCAGUAGGGUAGGGGUGUGUGGUGAAGAUAUAGGAGAGUCUCUCUCCCCAGAAUGGCUCAGUAGGGUAGGGGUGUGUGGUGAAGAUAUAGGAGAGUCCCUCUCUCCAGAAUGGCUCAGUAGGGCAGGGGUGUGUUAUUUUACUUAUUACUUAUUUUCCACCAUAAUGUGCAAAUAAAUUCAUUAAAAAUCCUACAAUGUGAUUUUCUGGAUUUUUUUUUCUCGUUUUGUCUGUCAUAGUUGAAGUGUACCUAUGAUGAAAAUUACAGGCCUCUCUCAUCUUUCUAAGUGGGAGAACUUGCACAAUUGGUGGCUGACUAAAUACUUUUUUGCCCCACUGUAUAUGUCCUAACCGACUUGCCAAAACUAUAGAUUGUUAACAAGACAUUUGUGGAGUGGUUGAAAAACUAGUUUUAAUGCCUCCAACCUAAGUGGAUGUAAACUUCCUACAUAACCUGUAUGUUUUGUUCCUUUACUGUAAACCCGAACAACGCUGAGUCUCGUAAAGCAACAAUUCUCUCUGGGCUGGCCGGAGGAAUGUCCUUUAACUUGGAGAGUCUACAGAUG